AACGAACGCUGGCGGCAUGCCUAACACAUGCAAGUCGAACGAAGCCUUCGGGCUUAGUGGCGCACGGGUGCGUAACGCGUGGGAAUCUGCCCUUGGGUUCGGAAUAACAGUUAGAAAUGACUGCUAAUACCGAAUGAUGUCUUCGGACCAAAGAUUUAUCGCCCAAGGAUGAGCCCGCGUCGGAUUAGCUAGUUGGUGAGGUAAAGGCUCACCAAGGCGACGAUCCGUAGCUGGUCUGAGAGGAUGAUCAGCCACACUGGGACUGAGACACGGCCCAGACUCCUACGGGAGGCAGCAGUGGGGAAUAUUGGACAAUGGGCGAAAGCCUGAUCCAGCAAUGCCGCGUGAGUGAUGAAGGCCU
rnacentral:rRNA from 1 species